rnacentral:rRNA from 1 species
CCCUUAGAUGUUCUGGGCCGCACGCGCGCUACACUGAUGCAUUCAACGAGUCUAAAACCUGGUCUGAUAGGGCUGGGUAAUCUUUUGAAAGUGCAUCGUGAUUGGGAUAGAUGAUUGCAAUUCUUCAUCUUCAACGAGGAAUGCCUAGUAAACGCAAGUCAUCAGCUUGCAUUGAUUACGUCCCUGCCCUUUGUACACACCGCCCGUCGCUCCUACCGAUUGGGUGUGCUGGUGAAAUGUUCGGAUCGGCCGUUUGUCGCGGUUUCCGCGUCAUGUGGCUGAGAAGUUCAUUAAACCCUCCCACCUAGAGGAAGGAGAAGUCGUAACA